UACGGAGGAUGCAAGCGUUAUCCGGAAUGAUUGGGCGUAAAGCGUCCGCAGGUGGCUGUGUAAGUCUGCUGUUAAAUAGUGAGGCUCAACCUCAUAAAGGCAGUGGAAACUACACGGCUAGAGUGCGUUCGGGGCAGAGGGAAUUCCUGGUGUAGCGGUGAAAUGCGUAGAGAUCAGGAAGAACACCGGUGGCGAAAGCGGCAUCCUGGACCGGCAUUGACGCUGAGGAGCGAAAGCCAGGGGAGCAAACGGG
rnacentral:rRNA from 1 species